ACCACAAAAACGAAACCCUAAUCCUUCACAAACUCCCUUCUAACCUUCGGGACACCGCCUACACGGAUCUCUCCACUUCAAACGUCGCCGACAACCACCGACGUCGCCUCCGACGUAUCGUCCUUCCGCUUUCACCGCACGGUAACUCUCUUUUUGCUUUGCCGUUCGGUUCGGUAUUCCGAUGUUGACGGUUUUCUUUGAACAUGAUUUUUCCUUGUAAAAAAAAAUUGGAAAGACAAAGAUCGUGAGCGAGAGAUUUUGAAAACAGAAAAUUGAUUACGGGAGAUGGCGAUUUUUAUUUGAAGCCAUGGCUAUGGGUGUAUCGAGAGAGUGAUUGCCGAUGGAAUGAAUUUAUUUUCCUCAAAUGUUUGUUUUGUUUGUAUGAAAAGCGUGAGAGAGGAAGAGAUGAAAUUGAGAGUGAGAAGCGUAUUGUUUUUUAUUUACCUUCUGCUGUACUGUCAUUAGCGGAGAGAGAUUAAAGGUUUAAUUUGUUAUUUAAUUUAUAAUGUUAAUAAGCUAGGACACAUGUCAUUAUCUGGAUAGUAGGUUUUGUUAAUUUGAAAAAAUAUCUCUUUCCCUCAUCAAUGUGCCGCCCCCGUUGAUUUUUUCUAUGUCUUUUUUUAAAAAAAAAUUAUUAUUUA
rnacentral:lncRNA from 1 species